GACGAACGCUGGCGGCGUGCCUAAUACAUGCAAGUCGAGCGCACAGUUUAUACCGUAGCUUGCUACACCAUAAACUGUGAGUUGCGAACGGGUGAGUAACGCGUAGGUAACCUGCCUGGUAGCGGGGGAUAACUAUUGGAAACGAUAGCUAAUACCGCAUAAUAUUGAUUAUUGCAUGAUAAUUGAUUGAAAGAUGCUAUUGCAUCACUACCAGAUGGACCUGCGUUGUAUUAGCUAGUAGGUGAGGUAACGGCUCACCUAGGCGACGAUACAUAGCCGACCUGAGAGGGUGAUCGGCCACACUGGGACUGAGACACGGCCCAGACGCCUACGGGAGGCAGCAGUAGGGAAUCUUCGGCAAUGGACGAAAGUCUGACCGAGCAACGCCGCGUGAGGGAAGAAGGUUUUCGGAUCGUAAAGCUCUGUUGUAAGAGAAGAACGGGUGUGAGAGUGGAAAGUUCACACUGUGACGGUAUCUUACCAGAAAGGGACGGCUAACUACGUG
rnacentral:rRNA from 1 species